rnacentral:rRNA from 1 species
CAUGGAUAACCGUAGUAAUUCUAGAGCUAAUACAUGCUGUAAAAACCUGACUUUUCGGAAAGGUUGUAUUUAUUAGAUAUCAAACCAAUAAUCUUUCGGGAUUAUUGUGAUGAUUCAUAAUAACUGAUCGGAUCAAGGUGUACCUUGAUAGAUCAUUCAAGUUUCUGCCCUAUCAGCUUUCGAUGGUAGUGUAUUGGACUACCAUGGCAGUCACGGGUAACGGAGAAUUAGGGUUCGAUUCCGGAGAGGGAGCCUGAGAAACGGCUACCACAUCUACGGAAGGCAGCAGGCGCGUAAAUUACCCAAUCCUGAUUCAGGGAGGUAGUGACAAGAAAUAACAAACUCGGGGCCUCACGGCUUACGAGAUUGCAAUGAGAACAAUUUAAAUCUCUUAGUCGAGGAACAAUUAGGAGGGCAAGUCUGGGUGCCAGCAGCCGCGGUAA